AUCAGACAAUGAGACAGCCCAUCUGCGGUGGAAGGUGGCUGAGCUACAGCAGUGUUGAUCAGACAAUGAGACAGCCCAUCUGCGGUGGAAGGUGGCCGAGCUACAGCAGUGUUGAUCAGACAAUGAGACAGCCCAUCUGCGGUGGAAGGUGGCUGAGCUACAGCAGUGUUGAUCAGACAAUGAGACAGCCCAUCUGCGGUGGAAGGUGGCCGAGCUACAGCAGUGUUGAUCAGACAAUGAGACAGCCCAUCUGCGGUGGAAGGUGGCCGAGCUACAGCAGUGUUUAUCAGACAAUGAGACAUCCCGAAAAUCGGUCUUCUAACGAAAACGUCUGUUCGUCCAAAAGGUUUGGCCUAAAAACAAUCUGACCACUAUGGAUUGAUUUGACUGUUGCGAACACGAUGGUGUUC
rnacentral:lncRNA from 1 species